UACGAACCGUCCAAACGUUAUUCGGAAUCACUGGGCUUAAAGGGUGCGUAGGCGGUCCGGUAAGUUGGGUGUGAAAGACCUCGGCCUAACCGAGGAAUUGCGCCCAAAACUGCCGGACUCGAGCAAGGCGGAGGUGAACGGAACUUAGGGUGGAGCGGUGAAAUGCGUUGAUAUCCUAAGGAACACCAGUAGCGAAAGCGGUUCACUGGGCCUUUUCUGACGCUGAUGCACGAAAGCCAGGGGAGCGAACGGG
rnacentral:rRNA from 1 species